GUUAAAAAGCUCGUAGUCGGAUUUCAGUAUUAGGCCCUUCUUCCAAUACGGUUGCUAGUGGUCUUUACUUCCUUAACAGAAUCUUUCAUCUCAUUAAUUUGGGGUGUUUGGGGCCUGUUUCUUUUACUUUGAGAAAAUUAGAGUGUUCAAAGCGGGUUUUCGCCUGGAUAUUACUCUUGGAAUAAUAAUAUAGGACUUUGGUUCUUUUUUGUUGGUGACUUAGAACCGAAGUAAUGAUUGAUAGGGACAGUUGGGGUCAUUCGUACUAUGAAGCGAGAGGUGAAAUUCAUGGACCUUUGUAUGACGAACUACUGCGAAAGCAUUUGACUAGGAUGUUCCCGUUGAUCAAGAACGAAAGUUGGGGGAUCGAAGACGAUCAGAUACCGUCGUAGUCUCAACCAUAAACUAUGCCAGCUAGGGAUUGGAGGAAAGAUCAUUUUACGUCUCCUUCAGCACCUUAUGAGAAAUCAAAGCAUUUGGGUUCCGGGGGGAGUAUGGUCGCAAGGCUGAAACUUAAAGGGAUUGACGGGAGGGCACCACCAGGAGUGGAGCCUGCGGCU
rnacentral:rRNA from 1 species